rnacentral:rRNA from 1 species
GGCCUAAACAUGCAAGUCGAGCGGUAACAGGGGUAGCUUGCUACCCGCUGACGAGCGGCGGACGGGUGAGUAAUGCAUAGGAAUCUGCCCGGUAGUGGGGGAUAACCUGGGGAAACCCAGGCUAAUACCGCAUACGUCCUACGGGAGAAAGGGGGCUUCGGCUCCCGCUAUUGGAUGAGCCUAUGUCGGAUUAGCUAGUUGGUGAGGUAAAGGCUCACCAAGGCAACGAUCCGUAGCUGGUCUGAGAGGAUGAUCAGCCACAUCGGGACUGAGACACGGCCCGAACUCCUACGGGAGGCAGCAGUGGGGAAUAUUGGACAAUGGGGGCAACCCUGAUCCAGCCAUGCCGCGUGUGUGAAGAAGGCCCUCGGGUUGUAAAGCACUUUCAGCGAGGAAGAACGCCUAGUGGUUAAUACCCAUUAGGAAAGACAUCACUCGCAGAAGAAGCACCGGCUAACUCCGUGCCAGCAGCCGCGGUAAUACGGAGGGUGCAAGCGUUAAUCGGAAUUACUGGGCGUAAAGCGCGCGUAGGUGGCUUGAUAAGCCGGUUGUGAAAGCCCCGGGCUCAACCUGGGAACGGCAUCCGGAACUGUCAGGCUAGAGUGCAGGAGAGGAAGGUAGAAUUCCCGGUGUAGCGGUGAAAUGCGUAGAGAUCGGGAGGAAUACCAGUGGCGAAGGCGGCCUUCUGGACUGACACUGACACUGAGGUGCGAAAGCGUGGGUAGCAAACAGGAUUAGAUACCCUGGUAGUCCACGCCGUAAACGAUGUCGACCAGCCGUUGGGUGCCUAGAGCA